AGUGAGAUAAUUGGGUCAAAUGGUGAUUCUAUUCCAAGUUUUCUGAGUAAUUGCCAUACUGCUUUCCAAAGUGGUUGCACCAAUUUGCAGUUCCAGAAGUAAU
rnacentral:pre_miRNA from 1 species